UUUAUCAUAAACACAAUAAAUUGAAAAGUUUCGAAAUAUUGUAUUUACAGGGCAACAAUUUUAUUUACAUUAUUUGUUUUGCCUAGUAUUAUAUAAAUUCAACAUGAAAUAGCAUUUGCUCAUUUCGUAUUUUUUGCUCAACUUUUAACGUUUUCUUGCACUAAACUUGUUUUGGUGCAGCGUCAUAAGUUACAAAAACAACAACAGCUAACUAAAGCGGAAAUAAUUGUGGGUACUGUGAAAAUGUGAGUAUUUUAAUAGGCGAGUGGUAAAAAUACCUAGCAUCCAGUUGAUUUUGUAGGCUUUAAUAUAAAACGCGGCAUAAUAAAUUGCAUGUUACUUUUCCAUUUGCAGCCAGUGUAUGUAAAUUGAACUUUUCACUGCAAUAAUCCGCAAGUUGUAGUAAAUUUAACAUAAGUACAUGGUUGAAUUUUACAUACUAUGGGACAGACAAUGUCAUUGGCAUGUUUCUCAUCAUUAUAGCGCAGAAAGCGCUAAUUUCCAAAAUAAAAGCAGAAAGCCUGCAACUAAUUACUCCAAGUACGCAUGCAUGUGUGUUAGGUAUUUGACUCUUUCUUUCGAUGAAUGAGUUCAAAACAACAUUCGUUAUGUUUGGAUGAGUACUUAGACUUGUUCACCAGCCCGAAGAAGACUCAUGUGUGACAGUUAAAAAAAAUAAUAAUAAAAAAGUUAUAAGUGAGAAGUAGACACAGUUACACAGCAACUUGUACAAUUUCUUUCACUUUCUUUCACACAACGUGACGCAUAUCAGUAGUGCCAUCUUUAUUUAUCGCAUAGCAUAAAGCGUGUGUGCUUUAAUUCGAUCAAGUUAACACACAACUAGAAGAGAAAAGUGAAAUGGCGCACAUUUUGAGUGCGACAGGGGCAACAUGAACAACGUCAAGGGUUUUCAAAGUCAACACAGCAGCGAGCUAAGAGCAGCGAGUGUCUCGAUUCACUUUCGUUUUUUAUGAUUGUUACAAAAUAUCAACUCUCCAUAGACGAAUUUCGUUGGACAAUACAUAUUUAGUAUUUAAUUUGCAUAGUUGUCGGCAAAAAAAAACAACAAAAAUGCGCCAAGAAACUCGUUUUGAUUAUUGUGUGUACGAAUGACAACAACACGCGCGACAAAAUGUCUGCAUAUAAAAUAAAUGUAGAUUUUCAAGAGUUGUAUUUCUUGAUUUCACACACAAACAUAUUUAUACAUGAUCAUUGUUUUUGUAUUUUCGGCAGCGCGAUCAUCAGCUCUUCAUUAUUUCUAAUUGUGGAGGUCAGACAGGUUGAUGGAGUGAGGAGUGAGGAGAGGGCAGGGCGAAGCUUAACGUUAUGCUAAUGUCGCAUAGCCAAGAAUCUCAAUGCCUAUGAAUGGGCUCUUAAUUGGCUAACGAGU